GACAGAGGUGCCGAGCGUUAGGCGGAAUCACUGGGCUUAAAGCGUGUGUAGGCGGGUCGUUAAGUACCUUGUGAAAUCCCACGGCUCAACCGUGGAACUGCUUGGUAUACUGGCGAUCUUGAGCCACCUAGGGGCAACUGGAACAAACGGUGGAGCGGUGAAAUGCGUAGAUAUCGUUUGGAACGCCAAUGGUGAAAACAGGUUGCUGGGGGUGUGCUGACGCUGAGACACGAAAGCCAGGGGAGCGAACGGGAUUAGAAACCCCCGUAGUCC
rnacentral:rRNA from 1 species